GGAGGUGAGGGUGAUCUGGCUGCAACAUCUGUCACCCCAUUGAUCAACACAGUUGAUUUGUCCAAUCUGGCAGGCUAGACGGGUGUGCCCCUUCUCCCUCAUUGCUCCAUGUGCACUCCUCUAGAAGCUGCACACUCCGUCACAGAAUGAUCUUGCCCAAUAGAGGAGGAUGGGUCUUCAGUCAAGGGUACACAGGGAGCUGUGCUCCCUUGCUAGAAUCUCCAAACAAGCUCUCAGGAAUGCUGUGAACUGGUUGUCACUGAAUGUGUGUCAAUGUAGUGUUUGUUCGUUUCUU
rnacentral:snRNA from 1 species